UACGUAGGGGGCAAGCGUUGUCCGGAUUUAUUGGGCGUAAAGCGCGCGCAGGCGGUUUCUUAAGUCUGAUGGGAAAGCCCACGGCUCAACCGUGGAGGGUCAUUGGAAACUGGGGAACUUGAGUGCAGAAGAGAAAAGCGGAAUUCCACGUGUAGCGGUGAAAUGCGUAGAGAUGUGGAGGAACACCAGUGGCGAAGGCGGCUUUUUGGUCUGUAACUGACGCUGAGGCGCGAAAGCGUGGGGAGCAAACAGG
rnacentral:rRNA from 1 species